GAACGGCAGCACGGGAGCUUGCUCCUGGUGGCGAGUGGCGAACGGGUGAGUAAUGCGUCGGAACGUACCGAGUAAUGGGGGAUAACGCAGCGAAAGCUGUGCUAAUACCGCAUACGCCCUGAGGGGGAAAGUGGGGGAUCGCAAGACCUCACGUUAUUCGAGCGGCCGACGUCUGAUUAGCUAGUUGGUGGGGUAAUGGCCUACCAAGGCGACGAUCAGUAGCGGGUCUGAGAGGAUGAUCCGCCACACUGGGACUGAGACACGGCCCAGACUCCUACGGGAGGCAGCAGUGGGGAAUUUUGGACAAUGGGGGCAACCCUGAUCCAGCCAUUCCGCGUGAGUGAAGAAGGCCUUCGGGUUGUAAAGCUCUUUCAGCUGGAACGAAACGGUACGGGCUAAUACCCUGUGCUAAUGACGGUACCAGCAGAAGAAGCACCGGCUAACUACGUGCCAGCAGCCGCGGUAAUACGUAGGGUGCGAGCGUUAAUCGGAAUUACUGGGCGUAAAGCGUGCGCAGGCGGAUUGUUAAGCAAGAUGUGAAAUCCCCGGGCUUAACCUGGGAAUGGCAUUUUGAACUGGCAGUCUAGAGUGCGUCAGAGGGGGGUGGAAUUCCACGUGUAGCAGUGAAAUGCGUUGAGAUGUGGAGGAACACCAAUGGCGAAGGCAGCCCCCUGGGAUGACACUGACGCUCAUGUACGAAAGCGUGGGUAGCAAACAGGAUUAGAUACCCUGGUAGUCCACGCCCUAAACGAUGUCAACUGGUUGUUGGGGGAGUGAAAUCCCUUAGUAACGAAGCUAAC
rnacentral:rRNA from 1 species